UGCCGGCGACCGGCGGACGGGUGCGUAACGCGUAUGUAACCUACCUUUGACAGGGGGAUAACAUCGAGAAAUUGGUACUAAUACCCCAUAACAUCACCGGAGGCAUCUUCGGUGGUUGAAAACUCAGGUGGUCAGAGAUGGACAUGCGUUGUAUUAGCUAGUUGGUGAGGUAACGGCUCACCAAGGCGACGAUACAUAGGGGGACUGAGAGGUCAACCCCCCCCACAUUGGUACUGAGACACGGACCAAACUCCUACGGAAGGCAGCAG
rnacentral:rRNA from 1 species